rnacentral:lncRNA from 1 species
AUGCAGAAUUUGUUUUUUUCGCUGCUACCAAAUGAAAUUGACUUUAGACUUGAAAUUUUACACAUAUUUCUAGCAUCAAUUUUCUAACAUAUGUGAUUUUUUUGAGAAUUUUUUGAAUUUUUUUGGUGGAGUUCUCACGGUUUGCACCGAACGAGGGUUUUCACCUGAUAUUUCACCCAUAUAUAUUUGUUAGCUUAUGUCAUUUUUCAAAGAAAUAAACCAUAUAUAUUAUAAAGGUUUAGCAGGAAUUUUCGAGCCAGUGGGCUCUACCCACUGAUUUCCAUUAAAGAAACCGUCCAGAACAACAAAAAGAGCUGCCAUGCUAUGUAAGCUGCCUUUUCGUCAUUGGCGCCCAUCCAAAGCUCCUCGCAUAUGCUUCAGAUAUCACCAUUUCCAGCAUCUGAGCAGCCUUCUCCAGCUUCCUCCUAUUUGUGUCUUUCUGUAAGUGAGCCCAGGAGAAGAUGUUAGUACACAAAUGAAACCCCACAGAAGAAGGGAAUAUAUGUUUAAAAAGCAGGAAUACAAAAUCAGAUCUUGUCCUCUUCAAUUUCAGCCCACCCAAAGGUUUAGCAUGAAUACAAAGCACCGUAAACAUAAUAAAAAUUACAUCGAGGUUGCUAAUGUUACGAGCCUGAUCUGUUGGGACGAGGCUCAAAUGAAUAUUGGUGCUAA